AAACACGCCUGCGUGAGUGGCGUCACGGCUGACCAAUAAGAAGCCAGUCCUGAGCCCGUGGCGCCAAACCGGUCCUAGGUAUUUGUAGUGGAGAGAUCUCCUUCCUAGUGGGUGGGAAUUUGACUUCAGCUACGUUCUCGCACAAGAUAGCGUUAGGAUGAUAUGGAUGCAACUGUGCUAAACAGUACUAAAGCCCUAGAACAUUCUAGGAUGGAGCUGAAAUUGAAUUUCAAGGAAGAACAGAAAGAAGUGAUCAACAAAGGAACAGCGAGCCAAAAGGUCGGGCUUCCGCUCUGCUCAGUCACUGUCCUUCUACACCAAAGAACAUCUGGAAAA